AUAAACCAAUCGGAUGUCUCUAUUUUUGGUAUUAAGGCAUGGAAAUUUGGAUUGAUUUCAGCUGCAUUGCCUAUAUUUCUCAUUGUAGAGGCCCUUGCUCUUGCCAUUUACUGCACCAAAUGCAAAAAGAGAGGCAGGUAUGUAACAUCAGCCAAAACCUGUGAGGAUAGUGAGGCUGCUGAAACAAUUAAUGCUGAAUCCAAUGAGAAUACAGUAACAAUGAACAACAUGGCACUCACACAAAUAAAUAAUCCUCUGGAAAUCUGAGACUCAAUUUUACAGAAGUGGAAAAGGAAACAAUGGAUGACUAAUCCUUAAACCCAUCUGCUCUAGUCACAAACUGCAAAGGAAAACAUAAUUGCCAAGACGUCAGCAUUUUAGAAGAGCAUUUUACUUUCUAACCUGCAAUUUCUGUCAGAACAAUUGUGAAUGAUUUCAAAUCAUAAAGUCAUAUAACUCAUGCUCUUGUACUUGUUUGUUGCUGAACACAGUGUUUUACUGAUUCAAUAAAGUUUUGUUUUUGGAACAUCAAAA